GUCAAGGUGGUGGAGUGGUUAACACGUUCGCCUGCUAUUGCUAGGUUUAACAAAGUCAGCGGAUGCCUUCUGGGCGCGCAGGUUCGAAUCCUGUCCUUGACG